rnacentral:lncRNA from 1 species
UGCCCCGAAGGAUAUCAUGGUCGUUAUCACCGCGAAGAAGAGGAAGGUGAAGCCCAAAAUAAGUUUUCGAGGAAGAGAAAUGUGGAAAUCUUGUAACUGAUCAAAUGGAGAAGUCAACAAAGAGAGAAACACCACAAGCGAAGUCAAGGAGCUUGCUAAGGAGAGAACAUCCGAGACAGUGAAAGCCAGAAAAUAGGGAGAGUUGAUGAAGUUGGGCUUGCCUUUAUCAUCAGAACCUCCAGGCACGGUAUAGGCAUGCAGCAGCGAAGACAACAGUAGCAACAAGUGCAGCUACUGUGGAACAAGACUGAGUUGUUUCCUUGAUCCAUGUUCGUGCGUUCUUCAGUUGUU